rnacentral:misc_RNA from 1 species
GACAGAGGGCGCGAGCGUUAUUCGGAAUUACUGGGCGUAAAGGGUGCGCAGACGGUCUUGUAAGUCAGGAACUAAAAUCCAGGGCUCAACUCUGGGGCUGUUUUUGAUACUGCAUGACUAGAGAACGGGAGAGGUAGAUGGAAUUCCUAGUGGAGAGGUAAAAUUCGUUGAUAUUAGGAGGAACGCCAAAGGUGAAGACAAUCUACUGGAACGUUUCUGACGUUGAGGCACGAAAGCGUGGGGAGCAAAGAGG